ACUGAACGCUGGCGGCAGGCCUAACACAUGCAAGUCGAGCGGAUGAAGGGAGCUUGCUCCUGGAUUCAGCGGCGGACGGGUGAGUAAUGCCUAGGAAUCUGCCUGGUAGUGGGGGAUAACGUCCGGAAACGGGCGCUAAUACCGCAUACGUCCUGAGGGAGAAAGUGGGGGAUCUUCGGACCUCACGCUAUCAGAUGAGCCUAGGUCGGAUUAGCUAGUUGGUGGGGUAAAGGCCUACCAAGGCGACGAUCCGUAACUGGUCUGAGAGGAUGAUCAGUCACACUGGAACUGAGACACGGCCCAGACUCCUACGGGAGGCAGCAGUGGGGAAUAUUGGACAAUGGGCGAAAGCCUGAUCCAGCCAUGCCGCGUGUGUGAAGAAGGUCUUCGGAUUGUAAAGCACUUUAAGUUGGGAGGAAGGGCAGUAAGUUAAUACCUUGCUGUUUUGACGUUACCAACAGAAUAAGCACCGGCUAACUUCGUG
rnacentral:rRNA from 1 species